rnacentral:rRNA from 1 species
AUUUAAGGUCUAAUCUGCCCACUGAGAUUUAAAUGGCCGCAGUAAUUUGACUGUGCAAAGGUAGCAUAAUCAUUAGUUUUUUAAUUAAAAGCUUGUAUGAAUGAUUGGACGAGAUAAAUUCUGUCUUUGAAUAAUGAAUAGAAUUUAAUUUUUAAGUUAAAAAGCUUAAAUUUUAAUAAAAGACGAGAAGACCCUAUAGAUCUUUAUUUAAUUGAUUUUAUUAUUAAUUAGGAUUAUUUAAUUUAUUAGAUUUAAUUAAAUUUUAUUGGGGUAAUAAGAAGAUAAAAUAAAUUCUUUUAUAAUUUUACAAAAAUUAUUGAUUUUAGGAUCCUUAUAUUAAGAUUAUAAGAUUAAGUUACCUUAGGGAUAACAGCGUAAUUUCUUUAGAGAGUUCAUAUUGAUAAGGAAGUUUGCGACCUCGAUGUUGGAUUAAAAGUUAUUUUAGGUGCAGUAGUUUAGAAUUUUGGUCUGUUCGACCAUUGAACUUUUACAUGAUCUGAGUUCAAACCGGUGUAAGCCAGGUUGGUUUCUAUCUUUAUUAUAAUAUGAUAUUUUAGUACGAAAGGACCAAAUAUUUAAUAGAUUUAUUUUUUAUUUUGAAUAUAAAUAAUUAUUUUGGCAGAGUAGUGCGGUGAAUUUAGAAUUCAUUUAUGUAAUUAUAUUACAAAUAAUAUUGUUUAUUUUAGAUUUAUUAUUUAGUUUU